rnacentral:lncRNA from 1 species
GGUAUUGCUCUUCCAGAGGGCUCAGUCCUCAGGAGGACAGGUUUUGAUGACCUAGUCUGAUUACAGCAUCUUUGACAGCUUUAAAGGAAUUUGCUCGAGGGAAGGCGACAGCUGCUGCUCUGAUGAAGGAUUUUUCUGAGCAGGCCUCCCAAGCAAGACAUGUCAGGAUGAGAUGCUGCCUACGCUUUUCAUCACAACCAACAGGUUGUUAAACUGCAAUCAAAAGCACUUAGUAGGAAUGGAUCUGUCCCUAUUAUGAGAUUUGAACUCCUGACAUCUUUAUCCAGUGGAACUUGAGUGCCCAGGACACAACCAAGAGGGGAUUCUGAGAUCGUUUUUCAACCCCUGCGACUGUGAGCCAGUUGCAGCAUGAGGAAAAGCCCUCCAACACCCCAAUGUACAGGAAAGAGAAGGUCUGAUGAUUAAGGUGUGCAUAUAGGAGAUGUGGGUUCGUAUUCCCUUGGACUUAGAUGCUGAAUCCAGAUCCCCUGUACUCUGCGUGUGUCUUCCAGCUUCUGAGUUGCUGGACAUAAAACCACAGAUUUCCACCAUUCUGCCCAUGAAGAUGACACAGAGAAGGUAUGGAUGCUUGUAUGACCCUAAGAUCAGAGAAAACGUCCUCACCAGUGAUAUGCCAUGCCAAAAUCUAGCUUAUUAAUUCUUCAAGAGAAAGUAUCAGUGCUGAACAUGUUCCUCACUCCAUGGCAGUUCCUGCUGUGUGUGUUAUAUGUCUUCCUGUUCAGUGGCCCAGCAGCUGUGAAUGCUAUUUUUAAACAUAUAAUUGUCUUCUGAAUUGUGUAGGAAGCAUAAGUAUUCACCGGAAGGCCAUUCUGGUAGGCUUGAUCUGCCCAGGAAUGUCACCCCUAAAUCCCUCUCUGGAUCCAUCCCAUAGUGGCAUCUCUUUCAAGGCCAAUGUGAUCAGCAGGUGUUCAGUCAUGGGAAUAUCCAGCGUGUGAUGCAUCGGGAAAACUACAGGUUUUUUACUGAGUAGGAAGAAGACAAAUGAGGAUAAAGCGGAGCAGGGACAACACAUAGCAGAAACAAAGAAAACAUCUAGGAAAUAAUAUUCUUUCCUGAGCAGAAGAAAGCAAAUGAAGAGGUGUAGAUGAAGGUGCGUAGAGAAGAGGUGUGGAGAAGACAACUUUAUCUUAAAAAUAAAACGUGCAGAAUCUCUGCCACCCACUUAUGUCUUCAAAAAGUAAAAAAUUUGCCAUCUGUUGCUCCACUUUCUGAUGACAAUGGAUGUAUCCGAACUGAGAUGCUUAGGAUUCACUUUGGAGUUUGACAUUAGGAACAUUCUGGCACAGAUGAGGGAUUUUUUAUUAUUAUUUCAGCUCUGCUUUUUGUUAUUUGGCAGAAUCCACAGCAAUCUGAUUUCAUUAUCAAAGACUGAGUGUAGCUUCCAAGCAAAAAAUAGAACAGCAACACAAUUGUGAUAUCGAAAUGCAAACAAUUACCUUCUCAUACCCAAUGGGAUAGCGUCCAAGCACAAGAUUGCUGAAUAGUUACAGUUGUUGAAAUGGCAACACUGCAUCCAAAACAGAGCUGCUUAGCUCAGAAGAGCACUUCCAAGAUGCUUCCAAUGACAUAAAUCAUAUAUUUAAAAUCAUAUUUCUGUUCCUCUGCCCCAGUCUGUUGAGCAGCCACCUUCAAUAACUUCAGUAGCACUGAGAAAUCCUUUCUGAACACUUUUCUGUUACUUUAAAUAAGAUUUUUCCUGAGAAGACAGCUUUAGAGUACUGAAGAUCUCCGAUGAUGAAGGAAUGUCCAUAUUGCCCUAUUCUAAAUAUUACAGUGAUCUAACAGUAAAUGUCACAUCAGAUGUGUUUUGUGUCAUGCUCUUUGAGAGACGUGGCAAAAAUACAGGCACAAAGCUUCCAAGUUUCACUCAAAAUUCAUUAUUCCAGCUUGAAAGCCUUGUUUUGUGUUUUGAUCAACUCUUUAGACAGAUGACAGUAGCUGUCCUCCUUCAAUACUGAGGAAAAGGCCACCUGUGGACCAGGCUGUGGGGGAAAAGCGGAAAGCAGAGAGAAGGGUUCGAUUUCGUGAGCCGGAAGAAGUCAUUGAGCAUGUUAUUUCCUGCUGUGACUACGUAGUGGGUAAGUCAAAGUUCCACAUUAUAACUCUGAGCCCAUCCAUGGCACUAACCCGAGUUCGCUUUGCAGCUGUGGGAACACAUUCUGUAAACAGACCCUCCACAUACAAACCAUUUCAUACUGUCAGCAGCUGUUGUUUUUUCUUUCUCAGCAUAUAAAGCACAAGGUGUUGAUGAGGUCUGGUGCAGUAUUUUAAACAAGACAUCCAGUAAGACAAAUAGUGGAAACAAAAAUGAAAUCCCUGAAGCUAUUUUUAAUUUAAAUAUAAUUAAUAUAUUUUAUGGCAAUGAAAUAGGUACAGGUUUUUCACAAAGAUAUGGAGGGAAAGCACCCCAAGCGAAACAGUAGUUCUCCCUGCUGACUUUCUUAUGGGGGGAAAAGACAAUUCAUUUAUACAGCAGCAGCAGGGUAGAAAUAAUAAAAAUAAUCUGUUCUUUCUUUUCGUUUGCAAGGAUGUUUGAGGCCAACCAGCCUCAGAGACCCCCAAGGAAAUGUGCGUACCUGGAUGUUAUUAAGAUGUUGAUCAUUGCUAGAAGACUUGGCCAAUAUCCAGCCCCUUCUAUAUGCAGUGCAUUAAGAGGGGAAAGAGUACAUAUGUGCACAUAUGCAUACAAACAUACAGAGCCAUAGUACUGGGAGGCCUAAAGGAAGCAAAUGUUACCACAUCCUCCAGCUGUUGCAGUUGCCCAGGAAGAGGGCUUGUAUGCUCACACCAGUAGUAGCAUCAGCUGAGGGAGUUACUGGGCUAGGAACAAGAUUCUAUGAAGAGGAAGGAGUUGAAAAGACCAAACAACCCUCAGGCAGCACGGAAACACGCAGCCAAUACAGGACAUGAAACAAAACCUCCCAUAUGCUGGUCCAGUGCUUUUCUCACAGACAAUUUCCUUUUAUCUUAUGUGUAUGGGCACGUGGCUAGGGCUGAAUGUGCUGUUCCAACAAACAAUAUAACAAAUUUAAGAUGAUUUUCUAUUUGUUGCUUAUAAUAAAGCAGAUUUGCACUCAAGCACACUUCUGUAGCAGUGCAAUGAAGUUACGUGAGCAUAGCUCAUCACUCUUCUCUUUUUGGAACUGUUCUUCCAUAUUAUUUUUCUAUAUCCCUGGACUAAGCAUAUUCCUGUAUUGAGAGGAUAUAAUGAAAAGCCAAGCUUGCAUUUUAAGUAAUCCUAAAAUUUGACUUGGAAAGUAACUUUCACAAGAAGGAAAAUCAUUUUGAGUACUUAACAGAAAAGGGCUGAUGUGAAAAGCUAUUGAGGAUUGCAGAAAAGUUUCACCCUUACAGAAUAUACUCAUCAGACAGGCCCUGUGCUUUGGAAGCUUUAUGUGCUUCACACUCUGUCAAGAGCUAUAUCGUGUACUCUGGAAGAUUACACAAGGGAAACAUCACCUUCCAAAUUAUAAAACUCUGCAAAAAUCAGGAAGGUGUGAGUAACUCCAUAUAAUUAUAAAAGGCCUUGAGUUGGAAGGGACCUUAAAGAUUGCCUAGUUCCAAUCCCCUGACCUGGGCAAGGUUGUCAGCCACUAAAUCAGGCAGUAGAUAGUUUUGCCCGGCAUUCCAUCCAACCUGGUUUUGAACACUCCAUUGAUAGGGGUAACCACAACUUUUCUGGACAAUCUGUUCCAGCACCUCAGAACCAAGAUGAAUCCCUGGGGGACACCAUUCAUCACAGUCUUUCUGGCUAAACACCUUCAUAUAAACCAUCCAUAGAAUAACACCAAAUAAUGAAAUUCCUAAAAAUUGAGGACUGUUCAUGGAUAAUUUGCAAAUAGAAAGGCUAAAUUCAAAUGAAUAAAUUAUUUGCUGCAAAUAAUUCACUCAGAUCUAUUAUGGGACAUUGAUUUGGUUUCUAGAAGCUAUAAAAUGACUGCCUAUUAACAUUUUACCUUUUCCCAAUACACUUUCUGAUACAUUAUUAUGUGUUUCUGCUUGGUUUUAUGACUUUUACCUUCCUCUCUGUACAUCUGAAUGACAAUUUAAUGGACUGCUGUGUAUUCCAGGGCUGGUGGUAGAAACUAAUUUAAAUAUGUUAUAGCUAAUGCUGGUCCUUUAGCCAUAAUAAUCCACACAUUUUUAUCUUCUUAUUGAUUAUGUGCAUAUGGCAGGAAAAUAGCUGCACACUAUGGGUUUCUAUUCAGGCAUGAAUUUGGUUUUAUACUGCAUGUUUAAUAAUCAAAGUGCUUUAUAAAAUACUACUAGUGCAAUGACCACACAGUCAAACAGAGCUGCCAGAUUUGAAUCAAACUGUCUACACACGUAUGAGAGCUGAGGCACCUCUAAAGAGCUGUAUGAAUGUCAGCAAGCUAAACGUAGCCCAUUGAUUUCCACAUAUGUACUAUGCCUGACCUACAGCACUUUAAACAUCUCUGAAUUAUAUUUUAACAGGCGAGGAAAAUGUUUACAGUGUCCUGCUAUUUAAGAGCAAAUGCUGAGGAUGUUCCAGUAUAAUUAGUACACCUAGCGCUUAGAGAGAGGUUAAGCCUGCCAGAGCUUCCUGAAUGUGCCUAUCACCUAAUAGAGCCUCUUCUCAGCUCUUACUGUAAUUAGCAGGGUUGCAAAACAGGCCAAGUAACAAGAGAAAAGGACAGAAAUCUAGAUCUUCCCUUUGUAUGGAACUUUUGUGAGCAUUAAAUAAUUAGGUGAGAUAGCUUAACGUACUCCUAGUAUUUAACCUAAUGUUUAGCUUAACGGCAUAAAAAAUAAUUGUUGGAAGGAAAUUUGAGAUUAUGCAUUAGCUAUGGUAAUCCUUUUCUUAUUGUAUAUAAUUAAACUCUUUAAAUGCACCAUUAGAUCACCCAUCUGCAUCGGGAGUGUAACCCACUAUCACUUAACUAAUGCCUACAGAAGGACUCACUGCCAGAGCUCCAUGUACCCUGCUGUUCCCAGAAAAGUGGGACAGUGGCAUCAGUAGGACAUAAAAUUUGGGAAGUGUAUAAGAUAACACUGAAAUAAUGCUGCUUUCUGUUUCCUCCUUACCUGUUUCUAGUACAUGACAGGUCUUCACCUGGAUUGCCUAUGCUCCUGGGGCUAUCAUUUUGUGUGGUACUGAUCCUGGCUGCAAGUCUCUUCUACACCAGCAUGAAGCAAGAUACCAAAGUCCUGGAAGAGUUUCAAUCCCGACUUGUUAUCUUCUUUCUUCAGAUAAGACACAUUGCUCAUAGAUGCUGGACCUGGUUUACAAGGUAGUAGCAAUGUCCUCCAUUUGCAGGAAGGCAGCACUGAUAAUCACCACGUGUCAGAGAGAACCUCCCAGCCCCCUCAGUCCACACGUAAGGAACACGAGUAUCCACCUUGAAGAGCAAAAAAAGCCACCCAUUUUGUGCACUUUCUAACAUCUACUUGUUCUCUCUUUUUUUAAAUAUAUAUAUUUUUUAAUAUUUCUGAAUGAUAGUAGUAGCACUAAGAGGUCCCACCAAACUGAUGUUCCAUCACCCUUAGCAGCAAACAAGGGUAUGAGUUUAGUCCCCUGAAGAGACUAUAAACUGUUGCUAUAAGGAGCAGAGGCAGAGAGAGGAAUUCAUUGAUCUGUGCAUGCAGAAGUACAUUGAAUAGAAGUCUCCUGAGUCUCAGGUCAAAGAAUAAACACCAAACCAUUUUUCUCCUCAAGCCUCUUACGUGCUAUUCUGCAAAGUUUAACAUAAAGCUGAACUAUGGCACAAACACUGCUCCGCUGGCCAAAGGCUUGGCAAGCUGCUAUAUUUAUAUACUUGAAAUGAUUGCUAGUAAAAAUCUCAGCAAAUGGCUUUCUUGUUUCCCUUCAUGCAUUUUUUCCUCUGUGGGCAAAAGCUGUUCCUUAAUGUUUCACUUGACUCCCAGGUGUGAAAAAUAACGUGAGAACUCAUUUAAAUACUAAACAGUGCAUUUGCCUAACACAAUACAGGGCAGCAUUGAAUCCCAGGUUAAUUAUCAAAUCAGAACUUAAUCCUCUUGGUUUGAUUCAGUCCAUAAACCCAAGAUUUAUGGUUGUGUUUGUCUUCAGUCGAAGCUUUCACAUUUAUGCCUGCAUGUUCAAGGGUAUUAUAGACUGUUUACAAAGGUGUUGGGUCAAAGCCCUGUUAUCUCUGUUGUAGCACCAUACAGCGUACCUCUCUGGAGGGAACCAAGCAUAUGCAAUCUUAUGAGCUUCAGCUAUGCUUUGUUCUUAGAAUCACGUAAUUGCUCAGGUUGGAAAAGACCUUCAAGAUCAUGAAGUCAACCACAGACAGAAACAGCAUGAUCCAUUUUCCAGGCCCUACAUUCUUGUCGAGUAAUACUUGAUAUAUGCAUAAGGGUGACAGCAGAGCCCAUAGAAGCUGAAGAAAAGAAAGGAAACAGUGGAGAAGAGGAAAGAGAUGCCUGCAAGACCUUGGCUUUAACUCCUCUGCCACAGUAAUGCACCAGAAGGAAAAAAAAAAUUCCUAACCGACUUUCAAAAAAAGCAAGCUUGUCCAGGCUGCCCAAAAAUUUAAACCAGACAGAGGGUAAAAGAAAACCAAUUACAUAGCCUUCACCUAGAGCAGAGUGGGCAGCAAGUUGACCAAUAACGAGCACAAAAAUAUAUGUAUUUGUAGUCAGUAAGAACUGACUUGAGCAGCUAUUCUCAUGCUCUGAAGGCAACAGCAAUUGCACCUGGGGAGCUGCUGGUCUGGGACACACAGGGCACUGCAGGAGCGUUUGGCUCAGUGGCUCUUUAUGCAAACCACUCAUGCACCCCAGCCCUCAGGGUAAGUCCCCUGAGGCUUCCCUGCUCUCUCUCUCUCUCUCUCUCUCUCCACUCAGCCCACUGUUGGGAUAAUAAAGAAGAGGUUUUAAACUUAUGCUCUGGUGAAUCUAUGGUGGGAAGGUUUUUCCGGAAGAGUCAAUUCCUGCACUGCAAGUUGUGGUAUAUUGCAACAUAAAAAGGCAAAGCCUGACAGGAGCUGGAUCACUUAGAGGGAGAGCAGUACCACAAAUCCUUCCUGCGUGCUUCAAUGCAGUUUCAGUAACUUGAAAAGAAGCCAAGGGGUUAAAAUUAACCAGGAACUCCUUUUAGGACUGUGAGGGAUGAUAUGAAAUCCAUAUGCAUGUUAAUAUGCAUGGGGCCUCCUUCUUCUAGCCCUGCUCAAGGUGGAAAAUAGCCACGCUGACCUUGCUGUGCCCAGGUUUAUCAGUGUGAGAGGCCCACACUGAGAAUGGCUAUCACAUCCAGGUUGGCAAGGGAAAUAAAGCAGAGGAGCAGCUAUUCCUGGCUCUGGCUAGGACAGCUUUAGGCACAGGCAAUAGCAGCACUUGAGUUGUCUGCAGAUUCCCCAUGUUUUUGGGAGGCUUCCUGGGCUGGGAUUCUUUGCUGCGAUCAGUCAGGUAUUUGGCAAAAUGCAGAGAGCCAAAAGAAUGCAUUGUAGAGUACCAGCAGACAGCCUGAAACAAAUAAAAGCUAAAAUCUGUCCCUGGGAGAGCAGUGACCUUUUACAGCUGAAGAAUCUGCAGCUGAGAAAGCCAGUGCCUCUGUGCAAGUGAAUGAAGCAGGUCAAUAGCCAGGGUGGAAAUAGGAGUUAAAGUCCUGACCUCUAGGCCUGCCUUUAAUUACCAAUGCACAGCUCCACUGUAGACUUACCUGUUUUAUUUUCUCCUGGCACUGAAGCACUUGUCCCCUCAAACCAUUCUGCUUACACACAGCACCAUUCUCAUACUCUGUUCUUUAUCCAUCACACAUCUGUGCAUACUGCUGUGAGUCAGAGAGGAUUUCUCCUUGCUCUUGCUCAACACUGCUUUCUUAGGUGUGACACCUUGGUGAGUUUGGAGAAGAUGACCUCUGAAUUUAUACAGAAUGGGUUGUGUUGGUUACUGUUUCCCUUGCAGGCUGUGCUGGGUAAUAUUUUCCUCCAGUAUGACUCCCGAGAAUUGCUUUAUAAGGAGGAAAACAAACGGAGAGGGAUGUAAUAAUGAUAAUGUAAUAAAUGGUCAAACGUUCACAUGAAUUCACUGCGGUGCCAACAUGAAGACUAACUAAAACUCAGCUAUCUCUGAGCAAUUAUUUAGUCUAUCGUGGAAAUGUCAUUUUUUUUCAUCAAGUUGCAGAGAGGAGCGACAGACUCUUGCAGCAAGUUUUGAAGAAGGCUGCAAAUAAGUAGGCUUGCUAUGAGCACUGUCUGGAUUGGUAAGAAUCCAAGGGACAGAAGAGAGCAGAGAGUUCUGUGCACGAAAAGAGGCCUAAGGGCAGAAGUGCUCCUUACUAUCCUUUAUGCAAUGGGUGUUAAAUUCAUGCAUAGCAGGAAUCAGCAGAUCAUGGCAGUGUUGUUCUGACAAUGUGCAGUGCAUUCCUGCAGCAGAAACAGAGGGCAGCUGCCAGCACCCUCUUCAGGCAGGCUCACCCCAUCAGCACCACCUGAUUGCAUUAGCUGGCAUAGCCAUUCCCAUAUGAUUACAGGAUGUAGAAAAGCACACAGUGAGAUGACACUAGAUUUUUUGUGUGUUAACCUCUUAACACACUUUGCAUUCAUGUUUGCAGCUCCAAAGUCUGCUUCUAGUCCUGCUCUACUGCUUCACCUCUCCAGCACUGUGAGUCUGGAAACAAGUUAAGGAGCACAAGCAGUCUGUGGUAGCAAUUUUAGUUGUUUCUGCCUUUUACCACUUCAAAGCAAGCGGAAGGUUGGCAGCAUGUGACUACACAAAAAAAAGAAAAGCAUUGCAGCUACCCUAAAGAAAUAGCUCAGGAGCCUCCAAGAUUAUAGAGUGGACUCCUUUCUCACUAUUUCUUUCUCCACAGUGGCUGUUGGGAUUUAGUCUCACUCCUGGAGAGAAAGGCUGCUGCUACAGGAAGAAAAUUAGUCAGUUGACAAUUAGAAGAUUAACCUGCCCAUGCAACCUGUAAUAGCCCUUUACACUUGGUAACAAGCUGACCUUCAGCCACAUCCUGACACAGGAUCUUCUUCUCUUUGCCUUCUUUAGCAUUAGAGUUCACUGCUGGAAGAUGGUGAAAGGGCUCAGCUUAGGAGGUUGGUCACAUCCUUGACCAUAGGAGCUGCAGCAAGGAGAUUCCAAGGAAUGACUGCAUAAACCAGGAUUACACCAGUAACUCUGGUAACCAUUUUUUAACCAACAUAGUAAUAAUUUCAAUUCACCCUCAAAAAAAAAGGCACAGAAAUACUAACUUUUCAAAUAGUUUAUUUGUAUAUAUCAACAAAUCAUAAAAAGCCAAUGCACUGUCCAGCAAAAAGCAUCAAUAUAUAAAACACAUUUAAUCGUUAUCAGUAAUACUUGAGUAUACCACUUACACUGAGCCCAGUCCAGCUCCCUACUAAAGCCAAAGGAAACAUUGUCAAUGACUCCGUUAGCAGAAGGAUUGGACUUGCAAUUUCUAUUUGCCAGGUGUUUACAAAUGCUUGCAUUAAAAUACUAGUAUAAAGUUUCCCCUUUGAGACUGUAUCAAAACAACGAUAAGUUUAACUCCAAUUCUGUUUCUGUCAAAUGCAUGCAAUUAAUGCUCCAGAUCAGCACUCGUUACACUGCAGGAGAGCAUACAAAGCAUGAGAAAGAAUAUUCAAAACAGAGCAAGCUCUACCCUCAGCUUGUGUGGACUGGCAUGGCUCCAACGAGGCUUACAAAGCUAAGCUGCAUACACCAGCUAAAGAUCUGUCCCAAUCCUACUUUCAGCAGUUAAACAAAUUGUCAAAGUCUGGAGACCUCAAAAACAAAUUAUGAAACACUGAGUGGUCCAAGCUAAGGCUGAAACUGGCAUCAGCACUGCCAGCCCAGGCUCUGCCACACUGGACCCCUCACAUCACAGCCUGAAUGCUGAAGUCCCUCACAGGAAGAACACUAACAGUUCUCAUUAUCUAUUUUUAUUCUGACUUACGGCACUCUCCUACCCCCUUUUUGCUAUCCUUGUUCCUGAUAGGAAGAGAUGUGAGAAACAAGGCCUGAUUAGCCUGGUGGCAAUAAAACUCUGUAACGUUUCCAAGAGUGUUUUUAGAGAAGAAAGGAUUCAGGGGAAGGAGAUGUCAGUGGAACUGGAUUAUUUUUCUUUAUAAACCUGCAAAAAAAACCUUUUAGCAGUACACUUCAAAUCAUGAUAUAUUCAUUUCUCAAGAGAGCUGAAAAAGAGCGGUAGUUUUAUUCAGGGAGUAUUUGACAAAAAUCUCUAAUGGCACCAAUUUACUGUGGAUGUGAUCCCACUGCAGUCUUGUGGUCACCGACCAAAAGGGCGGUUUACAUCUCCUAAAAAACACUGGUUUGAGGAGACUGACAGCAGCUUUAGAAGCCAAAUGGUGACCACACCGAGCAGUGAGGAUUUAAAUCAUUGCAGCAGUCUAGAAAGUGGCAAUGGUUAAUUAACAUGAAGAUCCAGUGUGCUACAGGAGGAUGUGUGGUAUCUCAGACACAGACUGUUGCACUUUGCAGUGUUAACAGGAAAAAAGUAAUUCCUUCUGCUGUGGGACUGAGUGGGUGAAGAGCUCUGGACUGUGUUGUGUGGGAUACUAUGACAGAGUAUUUUCAAACAUCUCCCUGCUUUAGAAUCUAUGGAUUAACGUAUCACUCAUCUGAUUCCACCAGGUUGCUUAAGGGAAUCCUGGCAACCAACUUUGGGAAUCUUUUAGAGCAACGUGUCAGCCAAAUCAGGCCUGGUUUGUGUAAAAGGAAGAGUUUGGCACCAAACCUCAGGGAGUCCAAAUGAGAAUAGCAAAAAAAAACUGAAAUGCUUUUUAUUUCUCUAACAAAUGGCAAAGUUUGCCAUAGGAGCUGCAAUUUCUCUUACAUUCAUAAAUACUGUUCAGAAGCUGUACACAAACUGGAGUCAAACAUGCACAGACGUGGGGGGAAAGGAGGGGAAAAUAAGGACUUUCACCACAGGGUCAUAUAUCCACUUGUGUAAGAAAUCACUCAAGAGGGCAACAGCAAUGAUGAAUUUUCAUUCCUACCUCCUGGCAGGGCAUCUCCACCCUCUCUUUACACCAUAGACAUGUGGAAAGGAGGAACAAGAAUACCUCAGACUACAUUUCCACAAUAA